rnacentral:rRNA from 1 species
UACGUAGGGGGCGAGCGUUGUCCGGAUUUACUGGGCGUAAAGCGCGUGUAGGCGGCUGUUUAAGUUGGGUGUGAAAGCCCGGGGCUCAACCCCGGGACGCCGCCCAAGACUGGACGGCUUGAGGACGGAAGAGGGGCGUGGAAUUCCUGGUGUAGCGGUGAAAUGCGUAGAGAUCAGGAGGAACACCCGUGGCGAAGGCGGCGCCCUGGUCCGUUACUGACGCUGAGACGCGAAAGCGCGGGGAGCGAACGGGAUUAGAUACCCCGGUAGUCCGCGCCGUAAACGAUGGUCACUAGGUGUGCGCGGUAUCGACCCCGCGUGUGCCGUCGCUAACGCAUUAAGUGACCCGCCUGGGGAGUACGGCCGCAAGGUUGAA